GCCAGGCGUGAUGGCUCAUGCCUGUAAUCCCAGUAUUUUGGGAGGCUGAGGUGGGUGGAUCACCUGAGGUCAGGAGUUUGAGACCAGCCUGGCCAACAUGGUGAAACCCCGUCUCUA
rnacentral:SRP_RNA from 2 species